rnacentral:rRNA from 1 species
GAUGAACGCUAGCUACAGGCUUAACACAUGCAAGUCGAGGGGAAACGACAUCGAAAGCUUGCUUUUGAUGGGCGUCGACCGGCGCACGGGUGAGUAACGCGUAUCCAACCUGCCCAUCACUUGGGAAUAACCUUGCGAAAGUAAGACUAAUGCCCAAUGACAUUUAUAGAAGGCAUCUGAAAUGAAUUAAAGAUUUAUCGGUGAUGGAUGGGGAUGCGUCUGAUUAGCUUGUUGGCGGGGUAACGGCCCACCAAGGCGACGAUCAGUAGGGGUUCUGAGAGGAAGGUCCCCCACAUUGGAACUGAGACACGGUCCAAACUCCUACGGGAGGCAGCAGUGAGGAAUAUUGGUCAAUGGGCGAGAGCCUGAACCAGCCAAGUAGCGUGCAGGAAGACGGGCCCCUAUGGGUUGUAAACUGCUUUUAUAGGGGAUAAAGUGAGCCACGUG